CCCUUAGAUGUUCUGGGCCGCACGCGCGCUACACUGAUGCAUUCAACGAGCCUAUCCUUGACCGACAGGUCCGGGUAAUCUUUGAAUCUGCAUCGUGACGGGGAUAGAUUAUUGCAAUUAUUAAUCUUCAACGAGGAAUGCCUAGUAGACGCAAGUCAUCAGCUUGCAUUGAUUACGUCCCUGCCCUUUGUACACACCGCCCGUCGCUCCUACCGAUUGAAUGAUCCGAUGAAUAUCAUGGAUUGAGGAUGCAAGCAGGUUCGCCUGUCUUCAUCUUCGAGAAGUGAAGUAAAUCUUAUCAUUUAGAGGAAGGAGAAGUCGUAACA
rnacentral:rRNA from 1 species